UACAGAGGUCCCGAGCGUUGUUCGGAUUCAUUGGGCGUAAAGGGUGCGCAGGCGGCCGUGUGUGUGAGGCGUGAAAGCCCGGGGCUUAACCCCGGAAUUGCACCUCAAACUACAUGGCUAGAGCAUUGGAGAGGGUAGCAGAAUUCAUGGUGUAGCAGUGAAAUGCGUAGAUAUCAUGAGGAAUACCAGAGGCGAAGGCGGCUACCUGGACAAUUGCUGACGCUCAGGCACGAAAGCGUGGGGAGCAAAGGGG
rnacentral:rRNA from 1 species